rnacentral:lncRNA from 1 species
AAACUAACAGAAGCCCUAGUGGGAGUUGCCAAGGUACAAAUCAAUGCCUGGGGACCCUGAACUAGCAGCAGACAUCCACAGAGGGGUCAGCUGAGGCGGAGGGAUGUCCCCACCGCCUCUCUGAAGACAGAGGCAGCAGGUAUGCACACACUGUGUAUCUGUGACAUGGCCUUCUCCUCGGGUAGCUGUUUCCUUCCUCCGAGGAUGGAAGGGCUGGGGCAAGUCUGCAGAUGACCAUGUGGGAGACAGGCCUUAGGUGUGUGUGUGUGUGUGUCCCAGAGGAGCCAAUGCUGUAGACACAGGUGGCCUAAAGCAGACUUGACACUGGUGCUCCGAUCAAAGGCUCAGGGAGCAAACAGGACAGAUAGACAGCAGCUCCAUUAGAAUCUAGGUUCUGGCGCAACUUCCCAAGGGCAUGCUAGGAAAUAGUUUUAUUGAUAAAACUUUGCCAUCCCAAAGGGUAAAAGUCUUCUCUUAGUUUUAAGUGCUUGUACCUAGGUUUUUCAAC